UGCAAGUCGAGCGGCAGCACGGGGAGCUUGCUCCCUGGUGGCGAGCGGCGGACGGGUGAGUAAUGCAUAGGAAUCUGCCCGGUAGUGGGGGAUAACCUGGGGAAACCCAGGCUAAUACCGCAUACGUCCUACGGGAGAAAGCAGGGGAUCUUCGGACCUUGCGCUAUCGGAUGAGCCUAUGUCGGAUUAGCUGGUUGGUGAGGUAAUGGCUCACCAAGGCGACGAUCCGUAGCUGGUCUGAGAGGAUGAUCAGCCACACUGGGACUGAGACACGGCCCAGACUCCUACGGGAGGCAGCAGUGGGGAAUAUUGGACAAUGGGCGCAAGCCUGAUCCAGCCAUGCCGCGUGUGUGAAGAAGGCCCUCGGGUUGUAAAGCACUUUCAGCGAGGAAGAAGGCUUGGCGGUCAAUACCCGUCAAGAAGGACAUCACUCGCAGAAGAAGCACCGGCUAACUCCGUGCCAGCAGCCGCGGUAAUACGGAGGGUGCGAGCGUUAAUCGGAAUUACUGGGCGUAAAGCGCGCGUAGGUGGUUUGGCACGCCGGUUGUGAAAGCCCCGGGCUCAACCUGGGAACGGCAUCCGGAACGGCCAGACUAGAGUGCAGGAGAGGAAGGUAGAAUUCCCGGUGUAGCGGUGAAAUGCGUAGAGAUCGGGAGGAAUACCAGUGGCGAAGGCGGCCUUCUGGCCUGACACUGACACUGAGGUGCGAAAGCGUGGGUAGCAAACAGGAUUAGAUACCCUGGUAGUCCACGCCGUAAACGAUGUCGACUAGCCGUUGGGACCUUUAAGGACUUAGUGGCGCAGUUAACGCGAUAAGUCGACCGCCUGGGGAGUACGGCCGCAAGGUUAAAACUCAAAUGAAUUGACGGGGGCCCGCACAAGCGGUGGAGCAUGUGGUUUAAUUCGAUGCAACGCGAAGAACCUUACCUACCCUUGACAUCCAGAGAAC
rnacentral:rRNA from 1 species